UAGAGUUUGAUCAUGGCUCAGAUUGAACGCUGGCGGCAGGCCUAACACAUGCAAGUCGAGCGGUAACAUGUCUAGCAUGCUAGAUGAUGACGAGCGGCGGACGGGUGAGUAAUGCUUGGGGAUCUGCCUUAGAGUGGAGGAUAACCAUUGGAAACGAUGGCUAAUACUGCAUAGUAUCUGCGGAUUAAAGGGGGCUUAGGCUCUUGCUUUAAGAUGAACCCAAGUGGGAUUAGCUAGUUGGUGAGGUAAUGGCUCACCAAGGCGACGAUCCCUAGCUGGUCUGAGAGGAUGAUCAGCCACACUGGAACUGAGACACGGUCCAGACUCCUACGGGAGGCAGCAGUGGGGAAUAUUGCACAAUGGGGGAAACCCUGAUGCAGCCAUGCCGCGUGUAUGAAGAAGGCCUUCGGGUUGUAAAGUACUUUCAGUUGUGAGGAAGGCGUUAAAGUUAAUAGCUUUAGCGUUUGACGUUAGCAACAGAAGAAGCACCGGCUAACUCCGUGCCAGCAGCCGCGGUAAUACGGAGGGUGCGAGCGUUAAUCGGAAUUACUGGGCGUAAAGCGCAUGCAGGCGGUCUGUUAAGCAAGAUGUGAAAGCCCGGGGCUCAACCUCGGAACAGCAUUUUGAACUGGCAGACUAGAGUCCUGUAGAGGGGGGUAGAAUUUCA
rnacentral:rRNA from 1 species